CAGUCGACGGAAGGCCCUUCGGGGUACUCGAGUGGCGAACGGGUGAGUAACACGUGGGUGAUCUGCCCUGCACUUUGGGAUAAGCCUGGGAAACUGGGUCUAAUACCGAAUAGGACCACGCGCUUCAUGGUGUGUGGUGGAAAGCUUUUGCGGUGUGGGAUGGGCCCGCGGCCUAUCAGCUUGUUGGUGGGGUAAUGGCCUACCAAGGCGACGACGGGUAGCCGGCCUGAGAGGGUGACCGGCCACACUGGGACUGAGAUACGGCCCAGACUCCUACGGGAGGCAGCAGUGGGGAAUAUUGCACAAUGGGCGCAAGCCUGAUGCAGCGACGCCGCGUGAGGGAUGACGGCCUUCGGGUUGUAAACCUCUUUCAAUAGGGACGAAGCGCAAGUGACGGUACCUAUAGAAGAAGCACCGGCCAACUACGUGCCAGCAGCCGCGGUAAUACGUAGGGUGCGAGCGUUGUCCGGAAUUACUGGGCGUAAAGAGCUCGUAGGUGGUUUGUCGCGUUGUUCGUGAAAACUCACAGCUUAACUGUGGGCGUGCGGGCGAUACGGGCAGACUAGAGUACUGCAGGGGAGACUGGAAUUCCUGGUGUAGCGGUGGAAUGCGCAGAUAUCAGGAGGAACACCGGUGGCGAAGGCGGGUCUCUGGGCAGUAACUGACGCUGAGGAGCGAAAGCGUGGGGAGCGAACAGGAUUAGAUACCCUGGUAGUCCACGCCGUANACGGUGGGUACNNNGUGUGGGUUCCUUCCUUGGGAUCCGUGCCGUAGCUAACGCAUUAAGUACCCCGCCUGGGGAGUACGGCNNNNNNNCUAAAAC
rnacentral:rRNA from 1 species